rnacentral:rRNA from 1 species
GCUCCUACCGAUUGAGUGAUCCGGUGAAUAAUUCGGACUGCAGCAGCGUCCAGUUCCUGGAUGCUGCAGCGGAAAGUUUAGUAAACCUUAUCACUUAGAGGAAGGAGAAGUCGUAACAAGGUUUCCGU